rnacentral:rRNA from 1 species
UACAGAGGGGGCGAGCGUUGUUCGGAAUUACUGGGCGUAAAGGGCUCGUAGGCGGCCAACUAAGUCGGAUGUGAAAUCCCCAGGCUCAACCUGGGAACUGCAUCCGAUACUGGAUGGCUUGAAUUCGGGAGAGGGAUGCAGAAUUCCAGGUGUAGCGGUGAAAUGCGUAGAUAUCUGGAGGAAUACCGGUGGCGAAGGCGGCGCUCUGGACCGAGACUGACGCUGAGGCGCGAAAGCGUGGGGAGCAAACAGG